GUUUGCUGCUGGUAGUGGUGCUGCUGUGAUUGCUGUUACUGCCGUGCAGGGUGUUGUGGGGUAAUGGUGGAGUACAGUGCGGUAGUGUGG
rnacentral:pre_miRNA from 1 species